AUUCCUACGGGAGGCAGCAGUGGGGAAUAUUGCACAAUGGGGGAAACCCUGAUGCAGCGACGCCGCGUGAGUGAAGAAGUAAUUCGGUAUGUAAAGCCCUACCAGCAGGGAAGAAGAAAUGACGGUACCUGAGUAAGAAGCACCGGCUAAAUACGUGCCAGCAGCCGCGGUAAUACGUAUGGUGCAAGCGUUAUCCGGAUUUACUGGGUGUAAAGGGAGCGCAGGCGGCACGGCAAGCCUGAUGUGAGAGCCCGCGGCCCAACCGCGGGACUGCAUUGGGAACUACCGGGCUGGAGUGCCGGAGG
rnacentral:rRNA from 1 species